GAUGAACGCUAGCGAUAGGCUUAACACAUGCAAGUCGAGGGGCAUCACGUAAAGGUGGCGACCGGCGCACGGGUGAGUAACACGUAUGCAACCUGCCCAUAACAGGGGGAUAGCCCGGAGAAAUCCGGAUUAAUACCGCAUAAAACAGGAUUACCACCUGGUAAUCUUAGUAAAAGAUUUAUCGGUUAUGGAUGGGCCUGCGUUCCAUUAGGUAGUUGGUACGGGUAACGGCCUACCAAGCCAGCGAUGGAUAGGGGAACUGAGAGGUUUGUCCCCCACACUGGUACUGAGACACGGACCAGACUCCUACGGGAGGCAGCAGUGAGGAAUAUUGGUCAAUGGUCGAGAGACUGAACCAGCCAAAUCGCGUGAAGGAAGAAUGUAUUAUGUAUUGUAAACUUCUUUUGUAAGGGAGUAAAAAGAGGGAUUUGUCCCUUGUUGUAAGUACCUUGCGAAUAAGCAUCGGCUAACUCCGUGCCAGCAGCCGCGGUAAUACGGAGGAUGCGAGCGUUAUCCGGAUUUAUUGGGUUUAAAGGGUGCGUAGGUUGUAUUAUAAGUCAGCGGUGAAAAGCGGGAGCUUAACUCCCGUCGUGCCGAUGAAACUGUAUUACUAGAGAAUGAACGGGGCAGGCGGAAUUCGUAGAGUAGCGGUGAAAUGCAUAGAUAUUACGAAGAACCCCGAUAGCGCAGGCAGCCUGCCAGGCCAUAUCUGACACUGAAGCACGAAAGUGUGGGUAUCAAACAGGAUUAGAUACCCUGGUAGUCCACACAGUAAACGAUGAAUACUCACUGUUUGCGAUACACAGUAAGCGGUCAAGCGAAAGCGUUAAGUAUUCCACCUGGGGAGUACGCCGGCAACGGUGAAACUCAAAGGAAUUGACGGGGGCCCGCACAAGCGGAGGAACAUGUGGUUUAAUUCGAUGAUACGCGAGGAACCUUACCCGGGCUCGAACGGCUUUUGAAUGAGGGAGAAAUCCCCCAGUCAGCAAUGACAGGAGUCGAGGUGCUGCAUGGUUGUCGUCAGCUCGUGCCGUGAGGUGUCGGCUUAAGUGCCAUAACGAGCGCAACCCUUACCGUUAGUUGCCAUCAAGUAAAGUUGGGGACUCUGACGGGACUGCCGCCGCAAGGUGAGAGGAAGGCGGGGAUGACGUCAAAUCAGCACGGCCCUUACGUCCGGGGCGACACACGUGUUACAAUGGGAGGGACAAAGGGCCGCUACUUAGCGAUAAGAUGCGAAUCUCGAAACCCUCUCCCAGUUCGGAUUGGAGUCUGCAACCCGACUCCAUGAAGCUGGAUUCGCUAGUAAUCGCGCAUCAGCCAUGGCGCGGUGAAUACGUUCCCGGGCC
rnacentral:rRNA from 1 species